GACGAAUCAAAUUUACUGGGAAAAAACACGGAAAAAUCAUUUCAAGGAUGACUUCACUAAGGUGGAGCACAGAGGAGCCCCUUGUACAGUCGGGUUAGCAAAGGACUGCGAGAAGAGAAAAGAACAUUUACACCUAAAUUUCCAAACCAAGGGCCAGAAAUAAUAUUUUACAAUAUACGGUCUCCAGACGUUCCGUUGCUGGCUUUAAGGAAACUUCCAAGUCGUAAGGGUGAGGUAAAAGUUGCCAGCUGCGAGGUGGUUUCCGUUGUAGAUAGAACGUAAAACGCCAUGUACAGGAAGA